UACGGAGGGUGCGAGCGUUGUCCGGAAUCACUGGGCGUAAAGGGCGCGUAGGCGGCGCGGAAAGUCAACGGUGAAAGCUUGGGGCUCAACCCCGAGUCGGCCGUCGAUACUUCCGUGCUCGAGCACUGUAGAGGCAGGUGGAAUUCCGGGUGUAGCGGUGGAAUGCGUAGAGAUCCGGAAGAACACCGGUGGCGAAGGCGGCCUGCUGGGCAGUUGCUGACGCUGAUGCGCGACAGCGUGGGGAGCAAACGGG
rnacentral:rRNA from 1 species